CAAUUCUCCUGCCUCAGCCUCCCAAGCAGCCAGGAUUACAGCUGCUGCCUAGCGGGGCCGGAGGAAGCUGUGAAAAGAUGACCAACGUCAGAACAUCCUGCUGAUGAUUUAAAGUGCCGAUUCGAAGAGCUUCAAGAGUCUCCUGAAAUGAGCCCGUGUGCCAGUCUAGUGACCUCACCUGCUCCUCAUGCUCCCCUUCGCUGCCUGGCAAGGGCUGUGCCUGAAGCCUCUUGUGUUGAGCUCAUCAUCGGUUACAAGCACUGGGGACACACGGCGCUGAGAAAGCUGCAGAGCUGCAGAGCUGCAGCCCCGGAGCCAAGGCAAAUGAGAUGCGGUCAAAACCUUGUGCCUGUGACCACAGAUACACAGCGGGGUGAGUCCUGCCAUGGGCGGGGUGUGGCUGUGCACAUGAGAGCUCAAAAGGGUGGGGUGCGGCCAGGGCAGGCUUCCCUGAAGGGAGCCAGGGAGAGUGAGCAGCAGAAGCCAGGAGGAGCAGGGCAGAAGAGAAGAGAGUGUUCCAAGCAGAGAGAACAGGCUACACCAGGGCCCUGUGGCAGGACGAAGCUUGGCACGUCUGAGGAUCUGGAAGGGGUCAGAGCAGCCCAGACAGGGUGGGCAGGCCAGUGGGCAGACUGGAGCAUGCGGGAACUGCAGGCCAGGCUGGGGACAUUGUGCAGCUGUGGUACGCUGUCAGCAGCAAUGACACGUGCCCUCCUGCUACUCUGUGGAAGCUCAGAGGCCACUGCAGAUACACAGGAAAACACUGGAGGGAUAUUUAGGAGGUACAAACCACAGGACAGGGUGGCCAACUGGAUGUGGGGAGUGGGGCUGGGGGAAGUCAAGGGUGACACUAGCUCCUAAUGAGGCCUUUGAGGGCAGAGGGCUCAUGCCCAAGGCAGGGAGCCCCAAAGGUCUGUCCUUCACACAUCACCACUGCCGGGACUCCCUGGGCCAUCAGGCCUGAUGCUCACAGUCCUCCUGUGCCUCUGCUCGCCUCUCAGCACUGUGACCUGGGUGGCCCUGGCCGUGCUGCUCCACUUCGCCACAUAGACACCAUCUCCUUAUCCCCUGGAACUCUUAUACCAUGAGUUCCAUUAUAAUCUUCACUUCACACAGGAGGAAACUGAGGCUCACAGAGGUGAAAUAACUUACUGAAGGUCACACAACAAGGGGCAAAGCUAGAACUCAAGCCCCGAUCUGUGGAACACCAAGACUCAUGCCCUUCCCAGCUGCAUGAGUAGCUGGCCCUCAGCACCUGCAGAGGACUGGUUCAAGGACCCCAUGGAUACCAAAAUCUGCAGAGGCUCCAGUCCCUGAUGUAAAGUAGCAUGCUAGGCCGGGCGCGGUGGCUCACACCUGUAAU